GACAACCCACUGAAUGGUAGAAGAUAUUUGCAACUAACAUGUCUGUUUCACUCCUUCAGAAUCUUCUCUGUACCCCCAAAGGCUGACAUCUAGGGGUUGCCUCAAGAGAUGACCUGUCCUCUGACUACUGGAUGGAAGUCCAAUAGGAAGCUUCUGCAAUAGGAGGUUUAAGCAGAAAUCUUCUAACUCUCCUGCCUUCUUGCAAAUUCGUCUUAUCUCUGGAAAGAGAAAGUGGGAGAAUCCCAGGUUGGAAUACAGACUGUGAUGAAAGAAUCCGACUGUAUUAUAAGCGUAUGAAUAAAACUUCAAAGAAGGACAUAGAGAGGAAAGGUGCUAUGUAAAGAGCUGGAAAUGAGUGGAGCCUAUAAUACUUAAGGAUACAGUAAGUCAGGAGACUAAACCCAGAAGAGGUUCCUCACCAGAACCCAAUCAUGGUGGUACCCUGAUCUUAGACUUCCAGACUUGA